rnacentral:rRNA from 1 species
CGGACGGGGGAGUAAUGUCUGGGAAACUGCCUGAUGGAGGGGGAUAACUACUGGAAACGGUAGCUAAUACCGCAUAACGUCGCAAGACCAAAGAGGGGGACCUUCGGGCCUCUUGCCAUCGGAUGUGCCCAGAUGGGAUUAGCUAGUAGGUGGGGUAAAGGCUCACCUAGGCGACGAUCCCUAGCUGGCUGAGAGGAUGACCAGCCACACUGGAACUGAGACACGGUCCAG